rnacentral:rRNA from 1 species
AGUACACUUGCGUGAAUACAUAGCGCAAUGUGAGACAGACCCGGAGAACUGAAACAUCUAAGUACCCGGAGGAAGAGAAAGAAAAAUCGAUUCCCUUAGUAGCGGCGAGCGAACAGGGAAGAGCCCAAACCGAGAAGCUUGCUUCUCGGGGUUGUAGGACACUCUACAUAGAGUUACAAAAGAAUUUGUUAAAUGAAGCGAUCUGGAAAGGUCCACCGCAGAAGGUAAAAGUCCUGUAGUUGAAAACAAAUUCUCUCUUGAGUGGAUCCUGAGUACGGCGGAACACGUGAAAUUCCGUCGGAAUCUGGGAGGACCAUCUCCCAAGGCUAAAUACUCUCUAGUGACCGAUAGUGAACCAGUACCGUGAGGGAAAGGUGAAAAGCACCCCGGAAGGGGAGUGAAAAAGAACCUGAAACCAUGUGCCUACCAGUAGUCAGAGCCCGUUAAUGGGUGAUGGCGUGCCUUUUGUAGAAUGAACCGGCGAGUUACGAUAUCGUGCAAGGUUAAGCAGUGAAUGUGGAGCCGCAGCGAAAGCGAGUCUGAAUAGGGCGCAUGAGUACGGUGUCGUAGACCCGAAACCAGGUGAUCUACCCAUGUCCAGGGUGAAGGUAAGGUAAUACUUACUGGAGGCCCGAACCCACGUAUGUUGAAAAAUGCGGGGAUGAGGUGUGGGUAGCGGUGAAAUUCCAAUCGAACCUGGAGAUAGCUGGUUCUCUCCGAAAUAGCUUUAGGGCUAGCCUCGAACAAUUGAAUCUCGGAGGUAGAGCACUGUUUGGACUAGGGGCCCAUCCCGGGUUACCGAAUUCAGACAAACUCCGAAUGCCGAUGAUUUAAGUUCGGGAGUCAGACUGUGGGUGAUAAGAUCCAUCGUCGAGAGGGGAACAGCCCAGACCGCCGAUUAAGGUCCCUAAAUAUCUGUUAAGUGGAAAAGGAUGUGGCGUUGCCCAGACAACCAGGAUGUUGGCUUAGAAGCAGCCACCAUUUAAAGAGUGCGUAAUAGCUCACUGGUCGAGUGGCGCUGCGCCGAAAAUGUACCGGGGCUAAACAGAUUACCGAAAUCGCGGAUUGAUACCUAUGGUAUCAGUGGUAGGAGAGCGUUCUAAGGGCGUCGAAGCAUGAUCGUAAGAACGUGUGGAGCGCUUAGAAGUGAGAAUGCCGGUAUGAGUAGCGAAAGACAAGUGAGAAUCUUGUCCACCGAAUACCUAAGGUUUCCUGAGGAAGGCUCGUCCGCUCAGGGUUAGUCGGGUCCUAAGCCGAGGCUGAAAAGCGUAGGCGAUGGCCAACAGGUUGAUAUUCCUGUACCACCUCCCCGCCGCUUGAGUGAUGGGGGGACGCAGUAAGAUAGGGUAAGCGCACCGUUGGUUGUGUGCGUCGAAGCAGUGAGGUGUGAAACGAGGCAAAUCCCGUUUCUAUAACAUUGAGCUGUGAUCGCGAGGCAAUUGUGCCGAAGUUCCUGAUUCUACGCUGCCAAGAAAAGCCUCUAACGAGGCGGGAGGUGCCCGUACCGCAAACCGACACAGGUAGGUGAGGAGAGAAUCCUAAGGUGAUCGAGUGAACUCUCGUUAAGGAACUCGGCAAAAUGACCCCGUAACUUCGGGAGAAGGGGUGCUCUGUUAGGGUGAAAGCCCGAGAGAGCCGCAGUGAAUAGGCCCAGGCGACUGUUUAGCAAAAACACAGGUCUCUGCAAAACCGUAAGGUGACGUAUAGGGGCUGACGCCUGCCCGGUGCUGGAAGGUUAAGAGGAAGGGUUAGCUUCGGCGAAGCUCUGAAUCGAAGCCCCAGUAAACGGCGGCCGUAACUAUAACGGUCCUAAGGUAGCGAAAUUCCUUGUCGGGUAAGUUCCGACCCGCACGAAAGGCGUAACGAUCUGGGCACUGUCUCAACGAGAGACUCGGUGAAAUUAUACUCUGCGUGAAGAUGCGCAGUACCCGCGACAGGACGGAAAGACCCCGUGGAGCUUUACUGUAACCUGAUAUUGAAUUCCGGUUCAGUCUGUACAGGAUAGGUAGGAGCCUUAGAACUCGGAGCGCCAGCUUCGAGGGAGGCGUUGGUGGGAUACUACCCUGACUGGAUUGGACUUCUAACCCAUACCCCUUAGCGGGGUAGGCGACAGUGUCAGG